GGAAAACACCCCCGGCGUCCCCCACCUCCCGACCUCCACCAACCCCCGCCGCCGCCCCAAUCCCCUGGCGUCCACCAGCCCUGCGCGUUGCGCCGCCGCCCCCGCUUCCUUCCGGCGCCCCGUCGGCCCGCCUCCUCUGCCGCGCCGCGGACCCGCCCCCUCCGCCGCGCCGCGGACCCGCCUCCUCCUGGCGGAUCCCUCCCGCACGGCGAGCUGGAAGUUCGGAGCGCCACCACCGCUCCCUUCUCUGGCGACCCCUCCCGUACAGCGAGCUGGAUGCAGUUGACCCCCGGGGCUUGGGCAGUUCACCCCAUCCGGCGAGCACGGCCGUCUCCUGCCACCCCCAACAGAUGCGGCCCCGCGGGUCCGAUGGAUGCUCACGCCGGGGAGGCGGUGCUGCUCCGGCAAGUUCCUUCUUCCUCGAGCACGUCCGUCUCCAGCCGCCUUCGAACAACCGCGACCCGCCGAAUCCGACGGAUGCUCACGCGUCCUCGAGUGCGGCACGUCGACAACAACCUCCUUGUUCUCGUUCCUUCCUCCAUCCCCGAGCACAACUCCGACGAGCCCGUCGACAGCGUAUGCAUUCCACUGAGAAAGCAAAAGCGUUGGGUUCAGUCUGAAAAAGUACGGCAGUUCAUUCACCAUAUUAUGUUACCUCUGAACCAGAGAGUAAAUCACAGAAAUGUAGCUCCUUUACUCUGCAGGUUUGUCAUACAUUCAACAUUGGUGGCUUUUGUGCUAUUCUGCUUGAGAAAAAUGAUCUUUGGGGAACUUUGCUAGUAGUAGACACAGAGUGUGCUUUUAAAUACAUACAGAACAUCAUAUCAUUUAUAUUUGUUUGAAAUGCUAUGCAUAUCCGUUAUGGCCGCAAAAAUACGCAUGGUUGACUGGCAGAAGUUCAUAAAGAGUUGUCAUAUUAUUCUUCAGAGUUCAGAUAAUUGUAUUUUGGGCCGCUGGAACCUGAUGGCUCAAGCUUGUAAAAGGAUAUUCAGAAGUUCAAAAAUAAAAAAUAGUGUUAUGUGAUGCUGC
rnacentral:rRNA from 1 species